rnacentral:rRNA from 1 species
UACGUAGGGUGCGAGCGUUAAGCGGAAUUACUGGGCGUAAAGCGUGCGCAGGCGGUUUCGUAAGUCUGUCGUGAAAGCCCCGGGCUCAACCUGGGAAUGGCGAUGGAGACUGCGAGGCUGGAGUGUGUCAGAGGGGGGUAGAAUUCCACGUGUAGCAGUGAAAUGCGUAGAGAUGUGGAGGAACACCGAUGGCGAAGGCAGCCCCCUGGGAUAACACUGACGCUCAUGCACGAAAGCGUGGGGAGCAAACAGG